UUGGCAACUUUGGUUGUGGACUACUCCCCGGGUACUUUGCCAGCAUUAAUGUUCUAAGAGCAUCAUUAUGGGAGAUGUAGUCCAUAACAUCUGGAUUGCUGAAGGUUGCUUACCCUGAUCUAGAAGCUUCACAAUACGGUUCAGUUCAAGCAUUACCUACAGUCAUGGGAGAAUGCAGUGAUGGCCCUGGAAAAUGUUGAAGAAAAGUUAGUCCAGUUCUAUUUCCUGCGCAAUAUGAGUUCUGAACUGUAGGCGCCACAUUCCAAAAGAAUAUUGUUCUGAA